AUCGCUUCUCGGCCUUUUGGCUAAGAUCAAGUGUAGUAUCUGUUCUUAUCAGUUUAAUAUCUGAUACGUCCCCCAUCGGGGGACUAUACAUAUUAAAUGGAUUUUCGAACAGGGAGUCGGAAGCGGGGCUUGCUCCGUCCGCUCCACGCAUCGACUCGGUAUUGCAGUACCUCCGAGAACGGUGCACCCUCU
ensembl:snRNA U2 U2 spliceosomal RNA